GGUGAACGCUGGCGGCGUGCCUAAUACAUGCAAGUCGAGCGGUAAGGCCCCUUCGGGGGUACACGAGCGGCGGACGGCUGAGUAACGCGUAGGAACGUACCCCAAAGUGAGGGAUAAGCACCAGAAAUGGUGUCUAAUACCGCAUGUGCUCUACGGAGUAAAGCUUCGGACGCUUUGGGGAACGGCCUGCGUCUGAUUAGCUUGUUGGUGACGGUAAAAGCUCACCAAGGCGACGAUCAGUAGCUGGUCUGAGAGGAUGAUCAGCCAGACUGGGACUGAGACACGGCCCAGACUCCUACGGGAGGCAGCAGUAGGGAAUUUU
rnacentral:rRNA from 1 species